rnacentral:rRNA from 1 species
AUUGAACGCUGGCGGCAGGCCUAACACAUGCAAGUCGAGCGAGCGGCGGACGGGUGAGUAAUGUCUGGGAAACUGCCUGAUGGGGGGGGAGAACAACUGGAAAAGGUAGCUAUAAUCGCAUACGCUCAGAUGUGCCCAGAUGGGGUUAGCUAGUAGGUGGGGUAAUGGCUCACCUAGGCGACGAUCCCUAGCUGGUCUGAGAGGAUGACCAGCCACACUGGAACUGAGACACGGUCCAGACUCCUACGGGAGGCAGCAGUGGGGAAUAUUGCACAAGGGGCGCAAGCCUGAUGCAGCCAUGCCGCGUGUGUGAAGAAGGCCUUCGGGUUGUAAAGCACUUUCAGCGAGGAGGCGUUACCCGCAGAAGAAGCACCGGCUAACUCCGUGCCAGCAGCCGCGGUAAUUC